UCGAGCGGUCUCUUUCGGGAGACAGCGGCGGACGGGUUAGUAACGCGUGGGAACGUGCCCUUUAGUACGGAAUAGCCAUUGGAAACGAUGAUUAAUACCGUAUACGCCCUUCGGGGGAAAGAUUUAUCGCUAAAGGAUCGGCCCGCGUUAGAUUAGGUUGUUGGUGGGGUAAUGGCCUACCAAGCCUACGAUCUAUAGCUGGUUUGAGAGGAUGAUCAGCAACACUGGGACUGAGACACGGCCCAGACUUCUACGGAAGGCAGCAGUAGGGAAUCUUGGACAAUGGGCGAAAGCCUGAUCCAGCCAUGCCGCGUGAGUGAUGACGGCCCUAGGGUUGUAAAACUCUUUCGUCAGGGAAGAUAAUGACGGUACCUGGUAAAGAAACCCCGG
rnacentral:rRNA from 1 species